CGAAAUACAUACAACCCAACAGAUUCGUUGGUACACGGUUAGAACCUAAAAGAAACCGUAUAUGUAAUGCAUUGUGGUAUAUACAUUUUAUUACGGCUUUUUGAGUAGCUGUGUGGACCGCGUUUUCAGAUACGGAGAAAAUAAAUCUCGAGGAUAAACGAAUACGGUCAACGGCAAAUUGAGAAUCUUGACCCCCGGGUCCCCCUCUAUCCAGGAUGCCCUACUGUUUAACGCUCACGAAAUUCGGCAGACACUUAAAAGCGUCGCGGGACACUGCGGCGCUAACGAAACGCGGUAUAAUUUUUAAAUUAAUAGCUUUGUCGUUUCUCUC